rnacentral:lncRNA from 10 species
CCUGACCUCUCCACGGGGUCGACAGGAACGUCUCUGGAUGCCAAGAGUCACAAAGGGCCUACCAGGACGAAGAAACCCCCUGGCGGAGUCCGUGGGAAGCACCGCGGCAGCCUAGCCUCAGGCCUGCCCAGACGGUGUUCAGUAGGGGAGCAGUCGGGCUCUGGACUACAUUUCCCGGAGGAUUCUGCAGGCCAAUACCACGUCUCGCGAGAUUUCGGCUUCCUCUUAGCCAGGUGGCAGAUUCUUUCGCUGUGCCCAAUUAGCUGCUGCCGCGCCUUGGAGUCCGGAGUAACUUGGCCAGGCUGGCCCCGAGCGGAACUGGAGAAAGCUGAGGGUGAGGAAUCCGGCUCCGGUCCUUUUGUGUGUGGAGGGCUGAGGAGAGGAGUUUGCGUGUGUGAUUGCCAUGGUUGCCGUGGGUCUUCGUGGUCUGUGACUGUGGCUGCGUGGUGCUGACUCUGGGUGAUCAAGUGGGCGCUUGUGACUGUGCGCGCUCGGAGUGGAUGUGUGUGUCCUGGACGAGCCGCGUUGUGUGUGCGGAUGUGGACAACCGGUGACUGUGUGGUUGGGGCUGCGUGUCCCAGGGUGGAUGUGUGACUUUGCGUGUGUGUGCAGUACUGUGUGUGCGUGAGUUGCAGGUCUGUGGCUGUGCAGGUGCAACUUGUGUGGCCCCGUGGUCUGUGUGAGAGAGGAGAGUGUGACUGGCUGUGAGGCAGAGGGUAAGUGGAUAUAGGGAGGCAUGUGUGUGAUUGGAACUUUGUGUGUCCCCUUGAGAGAAAAAAACCUUUAGGGAGUUAGAGCGGGUCCUUGGUAAAACUCCUUUAAACAGAGAAACAGCCAGAAAAAUCAGGCUGCAGGCACAGAGAAGGAAAACUAGCAAAGGGGGUUGUCCUAAAGACAUUC